rnacentral:rRNA from 1 species
AUGGGAAACAGGUUAAUAUUCCUGUACUUCUAGUUACUGCGAUGGAGGGACGGAGAAGGCUAGGCCAGCUUGGCGUUGGUUGUCCAAGUUUAAGGUGGUAGGCAGAGAUCUUAGGUAAAUCCGGGGUGUUAAUGCCGAGAGCUGAUGACGAGUCAUCUUUCAGAUGAUGAAGUGGUUGAUGCCAUGCUUCCAGGAAAAGCUUCUAAGCUUCAGGUAACUAGGAACCGUACCCCAAACCGACACAGGUGGUUGGGU